AUCCAGCUGACGAGUCCCAAAUAGGACGAAACGCGCGUCCUGAU
rfam:Schistosoma mansoni, Puerto Rico, WGS project CABG01000000 data, contig: 0010